rnacentral:lncRNA from 1 species
CUCCUCUUCCUCCUCUUCCUUUUCCUCCUCCUCUUCCGUUUCCUCCUCCUCCUCCUCUUCCUUUUCCUCCUCCUCUUCCUUCUCCUUCUCUCCCUCUUCUUCCUCUCCUUCCCUCCCCAUCUCCCUCUCCUCUUCCUCUUCCUUCUCCUCCUUCUCUCCCUGUUCCUCCUCUCCUUCCCUCCCCAUCUCCUCCCUCUCCUCCUCCCAGCCUCUUCCCUUCCUACAGACUCUCACUGUGUAUCCCAGGGUGACUGAAGUUGGAUGCUGAUUGUGUAUUGGGAACCAUCCCUCAGCCCCCCCCCCCACACCGAGCAUCCUCUUGUCUUUGCUGUCAUCUCUUCUCUGUGCCUCAUCUUAUUGCUGACUUGGAAAGAAAGCACAGCUCAUGGAUCCUGCUCAGUUGGCCAGAUACCAACACUGUGGUGACUGCUUGUUUUCCGUUUUCAGCCUUGAGUGCUUCUAUUAGUAAAGUCAGAGCGAGUGAUGAUGACCUACUACCUCUUCCAUUGUCAACAUGUCCUAGGAAUGUGUGUUCUGAUGUCGGGAAUGGAACUCAGCCCAUUCCAUUAGGAAAAACAGGAUAGAAUGAACUUAAACAUAGACCUUCCACAGUGGUCCAGCAAUCUCACUACUGGACCCAGAACUAAACUAAUUAUUCUGUCACAGAGCUGUCUUCCCUCUCUCAUCUAUCGUGUCGAUGUUUCUCUUGGUCCUUUACUCUGUGCUACUUCUGCAAGUAAGACUAGAAUGUCACUAGUAAGACUAGAGAAAUAAGGAGUGGACCAGUGGGGACUUCAACAGAGGAACACAUGUAAAGAAAAAGCGAUGGACCAGGCAACAGAGUACCAUCCGGCCUUGAAGAGGAGUGCAGGCCCUCAUUUGUAACAGCACAGGU